AAAUGUCGGUUCAAACCCCUCCUUUACCA
rnacentral:tRNA from 1 species